UGGGGAAUCUUCCGCAAUGGACGAAAGUCUGACGGAGCAACGCCGCGUGAGUGAAGACGGCCUUCGGGUUGUAAAGCUCUGUGAUUCGGGACGAAAGGCCAUAUGUGAAUAAUAUAUGGAAAUGACGGUACCGAAAAAGCAAGCCACGGCUAACUACGUGCCAGCAGCCGCGGUAAUACGUAGGUGGCAAGCGUUGUCCGGAAUUAUUGGGCGUAAAGCGCGCGCAGGCGGUCACUUAAGUCCAUCUUAGAAGUGCGGGGCUUAACCCCGUGAUGGGAUGGAAACUGGGAGACUGGAGUAUCGGAGAGGAAAGUGGAAUUCCUAGUGUAGCGGUGAAAUGCGUAGAUAUUAGGAAGAACACCGGUGGCGAAGGCGACUUUCUGGGCUCAUUCUGACGCUGAGGAACGAAAGCGUGGGUAGCAAACAGG
rnacentral:rRNA from 1 species